GACGAACGCUGGCGGCGUGCUUAACACAUGCAAGUCGAACGGUGAGAUACGAGUAGUAAUACGAAUAUCUCAUAGUGGCGGACGGGUGAGUAACGCGUGAGCGACCUGCCCAUAAGAGGGGGAUAACACUGGGAAACUAGUGCUAAUACCGCAUAAGACCACGGUGCCGCAUGGUACUGGGGUAAAAGGGAACCCGCUUACGGAGGGGCUCGCGUCCCAUUAGCUGGUUGGUGAGGUAACGGCCCACCAAGGCGACGAUGGGUAGCCGACCUGAGAGGGUGAACGGCCACACUGGAACUGAGAGACGGUCCAGACUCCUACGGGUGGCUG
rnacentral:rRNA from 1 species